AGUGAACGCUGGCGGUAGGCCUAACACAUGCCAGUCGAACGGCAGCACAGUAAGAGCUUGCUCUUACGGGUGGCGAGUGGCGGACGGGUGAGGAAUACAUCGGAAUCUACUUUUUCGUGGGGGAUAACGUAGGGAAACUUACGCUAAUACCGCAUACGACCUACGGGUGAAAGCAGGGGAUCUUCGGACCUUGCGCGAUUGAAUGAGCCGAUGUCGGAUUAGCUAGUUGGCGGGGUAAAGGCCAACCAAGGCGACGAUCCGUAGCUGGUCUGAGAGGAUGAUCAGCCACACUGGAACUGAGACACGGUCCAGACUCCUACGGGAGGGAGCCGGGGGGAAUAUUGGACAAUGGGCGCAAGCCUGAUCCAGCCAUACCGCGUGGGUGAAGAAGGCCUUCGGGUUGUAAAGCCCUUUUGUUGGGAAAGAAAAGCAGCAGGUUAAUACCCCGCUGUUCUGACGGUACCCAAAGAAUAAGCACCGGCUAACUUCGUG
rnacentral:rRNA from 1 species